AUCAAUCUAUAAAGCUAUUGGUAGAUAGCUAUCUAUUUAGAUUAAAAGAAAACCUCUAAAAGAGAGAUAUUGAGGAAAGAUCAGUUCACAACCAUGAAGAGAGUAAUAUUUGCAGGGCUUUUGUUAAUAAUUAUUUUCUCUCUCUCUCUUUCAUGCUAUGCUUUUGAAGGCUCUUUUACACCACAAUACAAGCCAUUAGCAAGGGGAAACCAUUUGAUGGGUAAGUGCAUGCAUGUUUUCCAAUUUAUUGUAUAUAAUUAUAAUUAAUAUUAAUUAAUUUCCUAUAUAUGCAUGUAGAUGCGCAUAAGGAAGUUGAUAUAGGAAGUUUCCAAAGACAUGGCGGAAAGGGAACUUAUGCCGGUGAAGAUACUCUUCGUCCUCGCGGCAAAGGCCACAGGAGUGGAGCUGCAGGCUUCUUUAUACUGAAAUCUUCUUCUUUCAUCUCAACACUACUAUUACUUAGAUAUGUUAUAGUCUUUGUUUUUAUAUAUGUUGUCUUGGUUUGAAUGCUCAUGAAGCGGUAGUUAUGUGACAACAUCAAGCAGGAUUUGAGGAUUAUUAACAACUGAUGUUAACAUUAUUUAUUGUAUACAAAGAUUAAUUAAUUAGAGGUAUAUGAGAUUUCUAGAACA
rnacentral:misc_RNA from 1 species